UAACAUCAGGAUUCCUCACAUGAAAC
rnacentral:piRNA from 1 species